ncrna:unclassified sequences S15-Flavobacteria ribosomal protein leader
UAUAUUUGCAACUUCAAACAGGAUACAUAAAAACUAUUAAAACUAAUAUUGGCAUG